CAACUACUCCCUCCGUUCGGAAUUACUUGUCACAGAAAUGGAUGUAUUUAGAUGUAUUUUAGUUCUAGAUACAUCCAUUUCCGAGACAAGUAAUUCCGAACGGAGGGAGUAGGAG
rnacentral:pre_miRNA from 1 species